rnacentral:rRNA from 4 species
CCUGGCGGCGAUAGCGCGGUGGUCCCACCUGACCCCAUGCCGAACUCAGAAGUGAAACGCCGUAGCGCCGAUGGUAGUGUGGGGCUUCCCCAUGCGAGAGUAGGGAACUGCCAGGC